rnacentral:rRNA from 1 species
UACGUAGGGUGCGAGCGUUGUCCGGAAUUAUUGGGCGUAAAGAGCUCGUAGGCGGUUUGUUGCGUCUAUCGUGAAAACCUGCGGCUUAACUGUGGGCUUGCGGUGGAUACGGGCAGACUUGAGUUCGGUAGGGGAGACUGGAAUUCCUGGUGUAGCGGUGAAAUGCGCAGAUAUCAGGAGGAACACCGGUGGCGAAGGCGGGUCUCUGGGCCACUACUGACGCUGAGAAGCGAAAGCAUGGGAGCGAACAGG